UACGGAGGGGGCUAGCGUUGUUCGGAAUUACUGGGCGUAAAGCGCGUGUAGGCGGCUAUGUAAGUCGGGCGUGAAAUCCCACGGCUCAACCGUGGAAGUGCACCCGAAACUGCGUAGCUAGAGUCCUGGAGAGGAAGGUGGAAUGCUUGGUGUAGAGGUGAAAUUCGUAGAUAUCAAGCGGAACACCGGUGGCGAAGGCGGCCUUCUGGACAGUGACUGACGCUGAGACGCGAAAGCGUGGGGAGCAAACAGG
rnacentral:rRNA from 1 species